AAACACCAAAAACAAAAAUCAAUUAAUUAAAAAAAAUCAAAAUAGAACUCGAUCUCCUUUUCCAAGCAUGUUUAUAGAAGAAAAAAAUCACCACCAUCGAAUUCUCCUCGUCGAAUAGAACAUAUUGACACUAAAAACGACAGGUUUCAUCACUGAAAAGUGCAAAAACUGAUGACUUUCUCUCUCGUAGCCUUUUUCAAACGACUUUCUCACUCUUCUCUCUAAUUCAGGGAUUAAAAUAUUAAGAAAAUGAACUUUCAAACCAAAGUUGGAAUUUAGAAAAUAUAGGGACUCUAGAGGAAGAAAAAGAAAAGUAUGAGAGGGAAGAAUAACUUUUCCCCUUAAUUUUAGAUUGUCCAUGGUUUGUUUUUUAAACAUUUUGAUCUCCUUGUUUUGAAUUUUGUUCAUUCUUAAACAAAUUAAUUAUCAAAUUGGAUAUAAAAAACUUCAAUCAAAAAAUAAAAAACAAAAAGCCAAGGACUGAAAAAAAAAAAGUUUCUCAGAUUGAGGGGGAAUUAAUCAGUGCCUGACAACCAUUGGCAUAUCAACAUUGACCCUGCGGGAUAGAACAUUAAACAUUAUCAUGUGGAAGACAGCUCUUCUAAGAAGAUGGACUAAUAUAGCUGGAUUUUUUUGAGAUUAUUAUUAGAAAAAUAUUGAAGAGGGGCCGUCCAAAUUCGCAGUCCCUUCCAAAUUCGCAGAAUUGUGUGUUCUUCUUCAUCCAAUCAUCAGCACAUAAGAGAUCAGCACUGUAGAAAUGGAUGCACCAUCACAGCAAGAGAUGUCAUACUAUGAUCACGUUAAGAGACGCCACGAGGACAAAGGCUGCCUCUAUGCCUUCUUCUUCGCUCUAUGUUGCUGCUGUUGCUGCAGUGAAACUUGUGACGGUAAAACUUGUGAGCUCUGUUGCCUCAGUGGUUGUGAGUGCUGUGUGCAUCUGUGUGCAGUGUCGCUGCUGUGCUUAGAUCACUAGUCCAAGAAAUGGAAGUAGUAUGAAUUUUUUCCCCUGAAUUUUAGAUUGGCAAUGGUUUUUUUUUUUUAACAUUUUGAUCUCCUUGUUUUGAAUUUUGUUCGUUCUUAAACAAAUUAAUUAUCAAAUUAGAUAUAAAAAACUGCAAUUAAAAAAUAAAAUGUCAAGGACUGAAAAAAAAAAAAAA